rnacentral:rRNA from 1 species
AGUGAAAGACGGUCUUGCUGUCACUUAUAGAUGGACCCGCGCCGUAUUAGCUAGUUGGUGGGGUAACGGCCUACCAAGGCGACGAUACGUAGCCGACCUGAGAGGGUGAUCGGCCACACUGGAACUGAGACACGGUCCAGACUCCUACGGGAGGCAGCAGUAGGGAAUCUUCCGCAAUGGGCGAAAGCCUGACGGAGCAACGCCGCGUGAGUGAUGAAGGUCUUCGGAUCGUAAAGCUCUGUUGUUAGGGAAGAACAAAUGUGUAAGUAACUGUGCACAUCUUGACGGUACCUAACCAGAAAGCCACGGCUAACUACGUGCCAGCAGCCGCGGUAAUACGUAGGUGGCAAGCGUUAUCCGGAAUUAUUGGGCGUAAAGCGCGCGUAGGCGGUUUUUUAAGUCUGAUGUGAAAGCCCACGGCUCAACCGUGGAGGGUCAUUGGAAACUGGAAAACUUGAGUGCAGAAGAGGAAAGUGGAAUUCCAUGUGUAGCGGUGAAAUGCGCAGAGAUAUGGAGGAACACCAGUGGCGAAGGCGGCUUUCUGGUCUGCAACUGACGCUGAUGUGCGAAAGCGUGGGGAUCAAACAGGAUUAGAUACCCUGGUAGUCCACGCCGUAAACGAUGAGUGCUAAGUGUUAGGGGGUUUCCGCCCCUUAGUGCUGCAGCUAACGCAUUAAGCACUCCGCCUGGGGAGUACGGUCGCAAGACUGAAACUCAAAGGAAUUGACGGGGACCCGCACAAGCGGUGGAGCAUGUGGUUUAAUUCGAAGCAACGCGAAGAACCUUACCAAAUCUUGACAUCCUUUGACCGCUCUAGAGAUAGAGUUUUCCUCUUCGGAGGACAAAGUGACAGGUGGUGCAUGGUUGUCGUCAGCUCGUGUCGUGAGAUGUUGGGUUAAGUCCCGCAACGAGCGCAACCCUUGAACUUAGUUGCCAUCAUUCAGUUGGGCACUCUAAGUUGACUGCCGGUGACAAACCGGAGGAAGGUGGGGAUGACGUCAAAUCAUCAUGCCCCUUAUGAUUUGGGCUACACACGUGCUACAAUGGACAAUACAAAGGGCAGCGAAACCGCGAGGUCAAGCAAAUCCCAUAAAGUUGUUCUCAGUUCGGAUUGUAGUCUGCAACUCGACUACAUGAAGCUGGAAUCGCUAGUAAUCGUAGAUCAGCAUGCUACGGUGAAUACGUUCCCGGGUCUUGUACACACCGCCCGUCACACCACGAGAGUUUGUAACACCCGAAGCCGGUGGAGUAACCAUUU